GACAGAGGUGCCGAGCGUUAGGCGGAAUCACUGGGCUUAAAGCGUGUGUAGGCGGACCGUUAAGUACCUUGUGAAAUCCCACGGCUCAACCGUGGAACGGCUGGGUAUACUGGCGGUCUUGGGCAACCCAGGGGCUGUCGGAACAAGCGGUGGAGCGGUGAAAUGCGUAGAUAUCGCUUGGAACGCCGGCGGUGAAAACGGACAGCUGGGGGUUUGCCGACGCUGAGACGACGAAAGCCAGGGGAGCGGAACGGGG
rnacentral:rRNA from 1 species